rnacentral:misc_RNA from 1 species
GUGCGGCGGACCGAUUAAGAUUUUUGUCCUACGAUUGCAACUAAUCAGCUAUCGGCUGCAGACCCGCGCGUCGCCUUGUACCGGAAUACAGAGCGUACAGAAAAAGAAGAGGAGGAAAAAACAGAGCAAAAGGAGGAGGAAAGCAAGAUUGAAGAAGUCAAAGAGAAGAAAAGGAGAAAAAAAAAAAUGGGGAGAUUCUCGUCUAUCCACGUGAUCGUGAUUCCAGGAAACUGCACAGCUGGGAACGCGAAGUCGUAUAGGAAUUUCAUUGUAGAAAAUUGAAAAAAUAAGAGAAUAUGCAAAUGGGCAG